CCGUGCCUGGCUCAGUGGCAGAGCAUCCGCCUGAUAAGUGGAAGAUCGCUGGUUCGAUUCCAGCGGCACGGA
rnacentral:tRNA from 1 species